AUCCCGAACACGACCGUUAAGCCCUCCAGCGCCGAUGGUACUUGGACCGCAGGGUCCUGGGAGAGUAGGACGUCGCCAAGC
rnacentral:rRNA from 1 species